GCAGGUUGCUGGUUGGUGGAUUAUCACCUAACGAGAUGCAGCUCAUCUGAGCAGGCUGGGCUCAGGAGCCUAUAAAGCAGCCCCGAUCAAGUGACUCCUCUCUCUUCCUGGCCUGCAGCCCGAUCCUUAGUUUCUGUUAUGUUUGUUUGUUCACGGUAUUCUUUAAUCAAUUCAUUAAGUUCAUCCAAGACCAUGUGUGGCCUCCCCUUCAAUGGUACAACCGUUGAGCCAGGUGUCCCACUGCGGUACCCCCCGCUACAUGGAGCCCCACAUCCUGUGCUGGAGGCCUCUCAUGCUCUCCAUGGUCAAGCUCAGGCUGAUUUACUUCCUCUUCCUGAGGCCAUCCCUGAUGACGUCAAUGUGAGACACAUUAGUAUGCUUUUGGAUGGUAAUACACCAAACAUUAAUAACAUCACCAACAGUGAACUGUUCCACUGUCCCUUCUGUAAAUUCGUGGGUGCAAAAUAUAAGGCAACCACGUAAAAGGCCAUUCGUCACUGAAACACAAAGAGUUCACAAUAAUAAAGUGUGGAUUGAGUUGUCGGACGGCAACACAUUUUCAUUGUUUCUAUUGUGCAGCAAC